GCGGGCGUGGCGAAAUUGGUAGACGUACUUGACUUAGGAUCAAGCGCCGUGAGGCAUGGGGGUUCGAGUCCCUCCGCCCGUA
rnacentral:tRNA from 1 species